UGCGCAGUGGGGUUGUUUUUUCCCAACAAGUAAAAAUGGCGACAUCCUUAAGAGCUAACAUAAUAGAGAAAACGCGGAUUUCUCAAUUCUGCGUCGGACAUGUUUGGGGGAAUAUCCAUACAUCCGCAUAUGUAUGAUUCAAGGGAAGUGACUGGCCUGGUAUUAGGAGUGUGCUUCACUUGGAUUCUGUUUGGUUUAUAUCAAGCCUCAGAAGCCUGGAGUAUGGUACGUCAAUGAUGUCAGAACUGGGUUAUGGUACGUCACUGA